rnacentral:rRNA from 1 species
CAUCAAUAAGCGGAGGAAAAGAAACCAACCGGGAUUGCCCUAGUAACGGCGAGUGAAGCGGCAAGAGCUCAAAUUUGAAAGCUGGCCCCCUCGGGGUCCGCAUUGUAAUUUGCAGAGGAUGCUUCGGGAGCGGUCCCCAUCUAAGUGCCCUGGAACGGGCCGUCAUAGAGGGUGAGAAUCCCGUAUGGGAUGGGGUGCCCGCGCCCGUGUGAAGCUCCUUCGACGAGUCGAGUUGUUUGGGAAUGCAGCUCUAAUUGGGUGGUAAAUUUCAUCUAAAGCUAAAUAUUGGCCGGAGACCGAUAGCGCACAAGUAGAGUGAUCGAAAGAUGAAAAGCACUUUGAAAAGAGAGUUAAACAGCACGUGAAAUUGUUGAAAGGGAAGCGCUUGCGAUCAGACUCGCUCGCGGGGUUCAGCCGGCCUUCGGGCCGGUGUACUUCCCCGCGGGCGGGCCAGCGUCGGUUUGGGCGGCCGGUCAAAGGCCCCUGGAAUGUAACGCCUCUCGGGGCGUCUUAUAGCCAGGGGUGCCAUGCGGCCUGCCCGGACCGAGGAACGCGCUUCGGCUCGGACGCUGGCAUAAUGGUCGUAAGCGACCCGUCUUGAAACACGGACCAAGGAGUCUAACAUCUACGCGAGUGUUCGGGUGUCAAACCCGUGCGCGCAGUGAAAGCGAACGGAGGUGGGAACCCCUCGGGGUGCACCAUCGACCGAUCCUGAUGUCUUCGGAUGGAUUUGAGUAAGAGCGUAGCUGUUGGGACCCGAAAGAUGGUGAACUAUGCCUGAAUAGGGCGAAGCCAGAGGAAACUCUGGUGGAGGCUCGCAGCGGUUCUGACGUGCAAAUCGAUCGUCAAAUUUGGGUAUAGGGGCGAAAGACUAAUCGAACCAUCUAGUAGCUGG